rnacentral:rRNA from 1 species
CAGUAGCCGCGGUAAAACGGAGGGAGCUAGCGUUAUUCGGAAUUACUGGGCGUAAAGCGUACGUAGGCGGCUUUGUAAGUUAGAGGUGAAAGCCUGGAGCUCAACUCCAGAACUGCCUUUAAAACUACAUCGCUUGAAUCCAGGAGAGGUGAGUGGAAUUCCGAGUGUAGAGGUGAAAUUCGUAGAUAUUCGGAAGAACACCAGUGGCGAAGGCGGCUCACUGGACUGGUAUUGACGCUGAGGUACGAAAGCGUGGGGAGCAAACAGGAUUAGAUACCCGGGUAGUCCCUGUCUCUUAUAC